UAGUCCUAGCCGUAAACGGUGAACACUGGGUGUCGGGGGUAUCGACCCCCUCGGUGCCGGAGCUAACGCGUUAAGUGUUCCGCCUGGGGAGUACGACCGCAAGGUUGAAACUCAAAGGAAUUGACGGGGGCCCGCACAAGCGGUGGAGGAUGUGGUUUAAUUCGACGCAACGCGAAGAACCUUACCAGGGCUUAAACUGCAGGGUAAACCCUCUGAAAAGGGGGCUGCUUCGGCGAUCCUGUAGAGGUGCUGCAUGGCUGUCGUCAGCUCGUGUCGUGAGAUGUUGGGUUAAGUCCCGCAACGAGCGCAACCCUUGCCUCUAGUUACCAGCGCGUCAUGGCGGGGACUCUAGAGGGACUGCCGUCGCAAGGCGGAGGAAGGUGGGGAUGACGUCAAGUCCUCAUGGCCCUUAUGUCCUGGGCUACACACGUCCUACAAUGGCCGGUACAAUGGGCCGCGAACUCGCGAGAGUAAGCAAAUCCCUUAAAGCCGGUCCCAGUUCGGAUUGCAGUCUGCAACUCGA
rnacentral:rRNA from 1 species